AAGUUCCCUCUUCUCAGAAGGUGGCACCACCCUGAGUUGCUGGCAUGCUACUGUCCUGAAUUUGCAUGAGACAUGGACCUGGAAGAAUUCAGGAAUGGGAAAGGAGGACAGACAGUACUCUCUUUGUCUUAGGCAUGGUCCAUCCAACCCCAUUUUGCAGGAUCCCACUGACCUGGUUGCAGAAGACCAUCAUGCUCUGGUGUUGAUCUUUCUCUUCUUUGGACUGCCAGGAUCAUGGGAUGUCUGCUGAGGAAAGCUACAGGGAUGGGGUGCCUUUGACUCUCUUGUAUCUGCUACUUCUUUGGAUAUUAUCAUGCAGCAUCUCUUACCAUCUUUAUCUGGUGACAGUUUUCCUGUCCUGUGAUAACAGUGGCAUCAAACCCGUUACUCAGUUCUCUGUUGUUUCCUUUAGGCAGUGAAAGUUCAUGUGGCAGAUCCUUUGAAUGAUUCUCCAUGUGCCAUGCUGGACCCUUUGGGGAGCAGGCUUUCCCAGUCAUAGAUAUUCUGACUGAGGAUAUCCCUACAGAAGAUGCUGUCUUAUCUGGUGUCCUCAGGUACCACAAAAGCUCAUGUGUUGUCCUGUGGUAAGAAAA